rnacentral:rRNA from 1 species
UACGUAGGGUCCGAGCGUUGUCCGGAUUUAUUGGGCGUAAAGAGCUCGUAGGUGGCUCGGUAAGUCGGGUGUGAAAUUUCGAGGCUCAACCUCGAGACGCCACCUGAUACUGCUGUGGCUAGAGUCCGGUAGGGGAGCGUGGAAUUCCUGGUGUAGCGGUGAAAUGCGCAGAUAUCAGGAGGAACACCAGCGGCGAAGGCGGCGCUCUGGGCCGGUACUGACACUGAGGAGCGAAAGCGUGGGGAUCAAACAGG